UUGAUUUUUAUAUAUAUAGAUGCAUAAGUUUUGAAGUUUUACAGCAAGUCAAAAUUUAUUUUUUAGUCAUUUUAUUUUUUCUGUCAUUUCAUUACUAACAUAAGGUAUAAAUUCCGCCCACUAUUUCCAUUUAUGUAAAUCCUUAUAUUUGCCAAAAUAAUAAAGAUAUCGGUUUGAAAAUUAUUAAACGAGAUACUAUUGACUUUCCCUCCAACUACAAGUUUGUAUUUGGGGGCUGAGGAACUGACCACGCCUACUUUUUAAUCUAAAUGUAUAAACCAAUUGUGGUUCGUUGGUAAUUGAAUCUGUUGAGAACGGUUGGAACGAUUUGGAUAUUUUUUAUAUUAAUGUUCGUCCUACCCCGAGCUAGAUUUUUAUGAAUGUGUCCCCAAGUAAUGCAAAGGUAGCCAAUUGACACCUUUUGGUCCCCAAGUAAUGCAAAGAAGCGACAGUUGUGCAUAAAUAAAAACCACCACGAAAAAACCAAACGAACAUUUGAAUGAGAUCUCUACGAACAAGAACCACUUUGAAUAGUUAGUUAGAAAUGACAAAUAAAAAGUUAAGAAUGAGUAGUAAAAGUAAUAAACGUAAUAAAAUAAUAAUAAAAGUAAUUCAAGGUAAAAUUAUAGCAUUCUUCUCAGAAUUGUUACAAAUUAUUAAUUUGUUUGUUUUCACUAUAGGUCAAAUCAAAAUUUUAGCUGAUGCUUUAGCUGAGUUGAAGGUGAUGGUGCUACGAUCUCAAAGUGAUGAGAUACCAUUAUCGAAUAGGUUCCCCAUCACUUAUAAAAAAUAUUGAGAAUCAAAACAUAUAUGUAAAGAUUAUAGCAUCAAUUAUAAAAGGAGAGGAAAUAUCGAAAUGUUUAAAAAUGUUAUCGGUUCAAAUAUUACUACGAGUAUAAUAUUGAGGGAAACCAUGGAAAAAAGUUUGAAGUCCCUAAGUAAUAUAUACAGCGUUAUUUUAGAUUCAAUACCAGCUACAGAAUAUUCGGACACCCCUGAAACACAACUGCGAAAAGGAAAACAAGUGCUUUUAAAAAUAUUAAAU